rnacentral:ncRNA from 1 species
AAGAGUAAAGGGCAAACUCUCCGAAAGGUUAGGACGCAAAGCUGAGGGUCUAAGGUUAAAUAACUAUGAUCGCCUGGCUGCCAAA